AAAUUGAAGAGUUUGAUCAUGGCUCAGAUUGAACGCUGGCGGCAGGCCUAACACAUGCAAGUCGAACGGUAGCACAGAGAGCUUGCUCUCGGGUGACGAGUGGCGGACGGGUGAGUAAUGUCUGGGAAACUGCCUGAUGGAGGGGGAUAACUACUGGAAACGGUGGCUAAUACCGCAUAACGUCGCAAGACCAAAGAGGGGGACCUUCGGGCCUCUUGCCAUCAGAUGUGCCCAGAUGGGAUUAGCUUGUUGGUGAGGUAACGGCUCACCAAGGCGACGAUCCCUAGCUGGUCUGAGAGGAUGACCAGCCACACUGGAACUGAGACACGGUCCAGACUCCUACGGGAGGCAGCAGUGGGGAAUAUUGCACAAUGGGCGCAAGCCUGAUGCAGCCAUGCCGCGUGUAUGAAGAAGGCCUUCGGGUUGUAAAGUACUUUCAGCGGGGAGGAAGGUGUUGUGGUUAAUAACCACAGCAAUUGACGUUACCCGCAGAAGAAGCACCGGCUAACUCCGUGCCAGCAGCCGCGGUAAUACGGAGGGUGCAAGCGUUAAUCGGAAUUACUGGGCGUAAAGCGCACGCAGGCGGUCUGUCAAGUCGGAUGUGAAAUCCCCGGGCUCAACCUGGGAACUGCAUUCGAAACUGGCAGGCUUGAGUCUUGUAGAG
rnacentral:rRNA from 1 species